rnacentral:tRNA from 1 species
GGGCUCGUAGCUCAACUGGUAGAGCGCCCGGCUCAUAACCGGGCGGUCGGUGGUUCGAGUCCACCCGAGCCCA